AUUCUGCCCUCACGGGGAAGGAUGAGAAACUUCGACUAAGGUUCGAUUCGAGCGCAAGCGAGAAAGCGUUGCCGAAGGCAACGACCCGAGGGCGAGGCGCAACGCGCCGAGUCAUCCUUCCCCCACCACCA
rnacentral:sRNA from 1 species